CGUUAGCGGCGGACGGGUGAGUAACACGUGGGUAAUCUACCUAUAAGACUGGGAUAACUUCGGGAAACCGGAGCUAAUACCGGAUAAUAUUUCGAACCGCAUGGUUCGAUAGUGAAAGAUGGUUUUGCUAUCACUUAUAGAUGGACCUGCGCCGUAUUAGCUAGUUGGUAAGGUAACGGCUUACCAAGGCGACGAUACGUAGCCGACCUGAGAGGGUGAUCGGCCACACUGGAACUGAGACACGGUCCAGACUCCUACGGGAGGCAGCAGGC
rnacentral:rRNA from 1 species